CUACACUUCAUGAAGUUUUUGAAAUCACUUGGUAUGAGAGUUUAUGAUGAUUGAGUUGGUUGUUAUGAAUUUUUAAAGAUGACACAAAAACAGCAAAACUUUCUAGAUAACAACUUGAUCAUAUUUGUUUUGAUGGAUGAUACAAUAUGACUAAAUGGUGUGAGUUGUGAGAGUUAUGAUUUACGCACAUACGUGUUGGUGUUUGAUGCUCGAACAAAUGGUUUCGAGCCUAAAUGGUAGUGAUGUGAUA
rnacentral:lncRNA from 1 species